rnacentral:rRNA from 1 species
GACGUAGGAGGCGAGCGUUAUCCGGAUUCACUGGGCGUAAAGCGCAUGUAGGCGGUUGGAUAAGUCUGUUGUUAAAGCCCCCGGCUCAACUGGGGGAGGUCAAUGGAGACUGUCCGACUUGAGGGCAACAGAGGCACAUGGAACUCCCGGUGUAGCGGUGGAAUGCGUAGAGAUCGGGAAGAACACCCGUGGCGAAGGCGGUGUGCUGGGUUGCAACUGACGCUGAGGAGCGAAAGCGUGGGGAGCGAACAGG